rnacentral:rRNA from 1 species
ACUUAAAUUGAAGAGUUUGAUCAUGGCUCAGAUUGAACGCUGGCGGCAGGCCUAACACAUGCAAGUCGAGCGGUAGCACAGAGAGCUUGCUCUCGGGUGACGAGCGGCGGACGGGUGAGUAAUGUCUGGGAAACUGCCUGAUGGAGGGGGAUAACUACUGGAAACGGUAGCUAAUACCGCAUAAUGUCGCAAGACCAAAGUGGGGGACCUUCGGGCCUCAUGCCAUCAGAUGUGCCCAGAUGGGAUUAGCUAGUAGGUGGGGUAACGGCUCACCUAGGCGACGAUCCCUAGCUGGUCUGAGAGGAUGACCAGCCACACUGGAACUGAGACACGGUCCAGACUCCUACGGGAGGCAGCAGUGGGGAAUAUUGCACAAUGGGCGCAAGCCUGAUGCAGCCAUGCCGCGUGUGUGAAGAAGGCGUUCGGGUUGUAAAGCCCUUUCAGCGGGGAGGAAGGCG